rnacentral:rRNA from 1 species
GACGAACGCUGGCGGCGUGCCUAAUACAUGCAAGUCGAACGCUGAAGGAGGAGCUUGCUUCUCUGGAUGAGUUGCGAACGGGUGAGUAACGCGUAGGUAACCUGCCUGGUAGCGGGGGAUAACUAUUGGAAACGAUAGCUAAUACCGCAUAACAGUAGAUAUCGCAUGAUAUCUACUUGAAAGGUGCAAUUGCAUCACUACCAGAUGGACCUGCGUUGUAUUAGCUAGUUGGUGAGGUAACGGCUCACCAAGGCGACGAUACAUAGCCGACCUGAGAGGGUGAUCGGCCACACUGGGACUGAGACACGGCCCAGACUCCUACGGGAGGCAGCAGUAGGGAAUCUUCGGCAAUGGACGGAAGUCUGACCGAGCAACGCCGCGUGAGUGAAGAAGGGUUUCGGAUCGUAAAGCUCUGUUGUAAGAGAAGAACGAGUGUGAGAGUGGAAAGUUCACACUGUGACGGUAUCUUACCAGAAAGGGACGGCUAACUACGUG